rnacentral:rRNA from 1 species
CCCAAGGCGACGAUCCGUAGCUGGUUUGAGAGGACGACCAGCCACACUGGGACUGAGACACGGCCCAGAUUCCUACCGGGAGGCAGCAGUGGGGAAUUUGGACAAUGGGGGCAACCCUGAUCCAGCCAUUUCGCGUGUGCGAUGAAGGCCUUCGGGUUGUAAAGCACUUUUGGCGGGGAAGAAAAGCGCCGGGNUAAUACCCNGGCGUGCUGACGGUACCCGCAGAAUAAGCACCGGCUAACUACGUGCCAGCAGCCGCGGUAAUACGUAGGGUGCAAGCGUUANUCGGAAUUACUGGGCGUAAAGGGUGCGUAGGCGGUUGCGCAAGACAGAUGUGAAAUCCCCGGGCUUAACCUGGGAAUUGCAUUUGUGACUGNGUGGCUAGAGUAUGUCAGAGGGGGGUAGAAUUCCACGUGUAGCAGUGAAAUGCGUAGAUAUGUGGAGGAAUACCGAUGGCGAAGGCAGCCCCCUGGGAUAAUACUGACGCUGAUGCACGAAAGCGUGGGGAGCAAACAGGAUUAGAUACCCUGGUAGUCCACGCCCUAAACGAUGUCAACUAGCUGUUGGGGGCUUCGGCCUUUAGUAGCGCAGCUAACGCGNGAAGUUGACCGCCUGGGGAGUACGGUCGCAAGAUUAAAACUCAAAGGAAUUGACGGGGACCCGCACAAGCGGUGGAUGAUGUGGAUUAAUUCGAUGCAACGCGAAAAACCU